rnacentral:lncRNA from 1 species
AUGUUGCUGUUACAAUAUGAGUUAUCUCUACUUUAUGGCAUUUAUCAUUCAGAAAGAAGUUCAGUAUCUGAACUUUGCAGCCUCCAGCAUGUUAUCAGCUGCCAUCCAGGUGCAGAAAGAGAAGAGGAUUUAAACUUCCAAAACACUAUGACAAAUCAGUUAUGGAAAAAUAUGCCUCAAAAAGAAGGGCAACUCAGAACAUGGCACAGAGAACUGCAGGACAAGUAUAUCGACAUAAUUAAUGCAGAAGUUUUCAAGUGAACCUGAACCAGCAAGAACUCUCCACCCUCUACUGUGAACUUGUUGCUUUGUUCUACAGAAUCUCAGCUUUGAUUAGAA